CAUGGCCCUGUCACCUGGGUAGAUGGAGGUGGCUACCUCCGACAGCGGUAGGCUGACGCUAAUGUAUUUCUGUACCUUGGGAUUUUGAUGACUAGAGUUUAAUUCUUCAGCAUUUGGGCCGUCGUUGGGUGAGGAGACAGUUGUGAGUCCUCUGACGAGCACUCGACUUCAAUGGAAGCAGAACAGCAGAUCAUUCCAGAACCGUUUUUAGCAGAGAUUUGGUACACAGCAGCGUCAUUUGGGGAACAGCUAGGAUGAAAAGAACAUACAGGCCAUGAUCUCUCUGCUAGAGAAACCGCCAUUCCUGAAGGUACCAUGACUUGGGUGGAAAAGAGACAGGACGAAAAGAGAAGAAGGGCGAGAGGCACAAUGGACCAGG